rnacentral:rRNA from 1 species
CCUACGGGGGGCUGCAGUGGGGAAUAUUGCACAAUGGGCGCAAGCCUGAUGCAGCCAUGCCGCGUGUGUGAAGAAGGCCUUCGGGUUGUAAAGCACUUUCAGCGGGGAGGAAGGCGUUAAGGUUAAUAACCUUGUCGAUUGACGUUACCCGCAGAAGAAGCACCGGCUAACUCCGUGCCAGCAGCCGCGGUAAUACGGAGGGUGCAAGCGUUAAUCGGAAUUACUGGGCGUAAAGCGCACGCAGGCGGUCUGUCAAGUCGGAUGUGAAAUCCCCGGGCUCAACCUGGGAACUGCAUUCGAAACUGGCAGGCUAGAGUCUUGUAGAGGGGGGUAGAAUUCCAGGUGUAGCGGUGAAAUGCGUAGAGAUCUGGAGGAAUACCGGUGGCGAAGGCGGCCCCCUGGACAUAGACUGACGCUCAGGUGCGAAAGCGUGGGGAGCAAACAGGAUUAGAUACCCGGGUAGUC